rnacentral:rRNA from 1 species
GACGAACGCUGGCGGCGUGCUUAACACAUGCAAGUCGAGCGGUAAGGCCCUUUCGGGGUACGACGAGCGGCGAACGGGUGAGUAACACGUGGGUGACCUGCCCUCAGUUCUGGGAGUAAGCCUGGGAAACCGGGUCUAAUACUGGAUAUGACUCCAUGACGCAUGUUGUGGGGUGGAAAGCCUUGUGCGGCUGAGGAUGGGCCCGCGGCCUAUCAGCUUGUUGGUGGGGUGAUGGCCUACCAAGGCGACGACGGGUAGCCGGCCUGAGAGGGCGACCGGCCACACUGGGACUGAGACACGGCCCAGACUCCUACGGGAGGCAGCAGUGGGGAAUCUUGCGCAAUGGGCGAAAGCCUGACGCAGCGACGCCGCGUGAGGGAUGACGGCCUGGUGUAA